rnacentral:lncRNA from 13 species
AUGUCCAUUUUCCCAUACAGAUACCCCAUUUUCGGUACCAUUUUUUUAACAAGUACUCCUUUAAUUCCUAUUUCUCUGCAAGCCAUAUUUGAUUUGCCUCCUUUUUUUUCCCCACUGUUAUUUCUAAGCUCUCUAUUUGGUUUAAUUAGAAAUUUUUUCCAAUUCUCUUUGACUAUUACAGUGUCUUGUUCCUUAUACCUUUUAAAAAGUUUUGAUAUCUAAUAAGUCAUUUCGCCCUCGCUACUGUUUGGGAAUUUUUUUUUGCUUUUCUUGGCCUUUUAAUUUUUAUAUAAAUUUCACAUUCAUAUUAAAAAACCUAUAGGGAUUUUAGUUAGAUUUUACAUAAACUUACAGAUUAAUUUUUAAAAUUCGUGUCUUUUAGCUAUUGUGGGUUAUUCCAGGAUCAUGCCACAUCAUUACUUUUAUUUAUUAAGUCUUCUUAAAAAUCUUUUCUAAAAGGUUGGUAGAUUUCUCCAAAGAAGUCUUGUCCAUCAGUUUCUGUAUUUACUUCUAGGUGCUUUUGGUUUUGGUUAUUAUUGCAAAUGGUUUUAAAAAAAUAUUCUCUAAUGUUUUCUUUUAAUGUAAAGACACACAAUGGACUCUUAGGUAUUAGCUAUGUAUCCAUUUUGCUGAAAUUUCCAGUUAGUUUAAUAAUUUGUCCAUUAGAAAUUUGGAUUUGUUAUGUAGAUAAUCACAGUAUUUAAUAAUCAUGAAAAUAUUAUUUAUUCUUUUAAAAUCUUUAUAUACUUAAUUUAUUUUUUAUAUUCUUGUUAUAGUACAGGAGACGGUUUUCUCUGUUUAUAAAAAAGACAUUUUUGGGGGAUAGUAAUGUGAACCAAAUAUCAAAGCUAUGACAUAGUGUUUGGGAGAAACAUUUAAGCCACUGAUCAGAAUAUUUACACUGUUGUAGAUCUCAGGUGUUUUGUUUUUGUUUUUUAAUAAUUUUGUUACUUUUAAAUCUAGAAAUUUCUUUAUUUCAACUAAAUUUUUAUACACACGUUAAAGUUGUUUAUGUUAUCUUUUAUGACUUUGCUAUAUCUCCAAUAAUGUCACUUUUAUAAUUACAAAAUAAUGACCAGUUCUAAGUAUUGUCUGAUUUUCAGUACUAUAUCUUCUUUGGCACAUCAAUGUUAAUAUUUUUGAAGUUUAUAUUACUGUUUUAGAUUUACAAAACUGCAUUUUGGAUUGAUAAAUAUGUCUGUACAUAAAGAUGUCGGAAAUUUGUUUUAAAAUGCCAUAUGGACUUGUAUGUCAUACGUUUUUGCCAGGCAUGCUGGCUGACGCCUAUAAUCCCAGAACUUUGGGAGGCUGAAGUUGGUGGAUCACUUGGGGUCAGGAUUUCAAGACCAGCCUGGUCAACAUGGCAAAACCCAGUCUCUACUAAAAAUACAAAAAUUAGCCGGGCAUGAUGGCGUGCACCCGUAAUCCUAGCUACUUGGGAGGCUGAGGCAGGAGAAUCGCUUGAACCCAAGAGGCGGAGGUAGCAGUGAGCCAAUAUUGCAACACUGCUCUCCAGUAUUGGUGGCAGAGCAAGGCUCCAUCUCAAAAAAUAAAAUAAAGGAAAAUAAAAUUUUAUAAGUAUUU